UUAUUUCAUCAUUUUAUUUUGAUGUGGGAGAUACGGGAUUUAAGAACUCCUCACCAGGGUGUUCUUAAAUCCCAUAUCUCCCACAUCAAAAUAA
rnacentral:miRNA from 1 species